UACUUCUUCUUCUGGAAUCGA
rnacentral:piRNA from 1 species